AGUGAACGCUGGCGGUAGGCCUAACACAUGCAAGUCGAACGGCAGCACAGUAAGAGCUUGCUCUUACGGGUGGCGAGUGGCGGACGGGUGAGGAAUACAUCGGAAUCUACUUUUUCGUGGGGGGUAACGUAGGGAAACUUACGCUAAUACCGCAUACGACCUACGGGUGAAAGCAGGGGAUCUUCGGACCUUGCGCGAUUGAAUGAGCCGAUGUCGGAUUAGCUAGUUGGCGGGGUAAAGGCCCACCAAGGCGACGAUCCGUAGCUGGUCUGAGAGGAUGAUCAGCCACACUGGAACUGAGACACGGUCCAGACUCCUACGGGAGGCGGCAGUGGGGAAUAUUGGACAAUGGGCGCAAGCCUGAUCCAGCCAUACCGCGUGGGUGAAGAAGGCCUUCGGGUUGUAAAGCCCUUUUGUUGGGAAAGAAAAGCAGCAGGUUAAUACCCCGCUGUUCUGACGGUACCCAAAGAAUAAGCACCGGCUAACUUCGUG
rnacentral:rRNA from 1 species